rnacentral:rRNA from 1 species
UAUAACGGUCCUAAGGUAGCGAAAUUCCUUGUCGGGUAAGUUCCGACCUGCACGAAUGGCGUAAUGAUGGCCAGGCUGUCUCCACCCGAGACUCAGUGAAAUUGAACUCGCUGUGAAGAUGCAGUGUACCCGCGGCAAGACGGAAAGACCCCGUGAACCUUUACUAUAGCUUGACACUGAACAUUGAGCCUUGAUGUGUAGGAUAGGUGGGAGGCUUUGAAGCGUGGACGCCAGUCUGCGUGGAGCCAACCUUGAAAUACCACCCUUUAAUGUUUGAUGUUCUAACGUGGCCCCAUUAUCUGGGGUGCGGACAGUGUCUGGUGGGUAGUUUGACUGGGGCGGUCUCCUCCCAAAGAGUAACGGAGGAGCACGAAGGUUGGCUAAGCAUGGUCGGACAUCAUGCGGUUAGUGCAAAGGCAUAAGCCAGCUUGACUGCGAGAGUGACAGCUCGAGCAGGUACGAAAGUAGGUCUUAGUGAUCCGGUGGUUCUGAAUGGAAGGGCCAUCGCUCAACGGAUAAAAGGUACUCCGGGGAUAACAGGCUGAUACCGCCCAAGAGUUCAUAUCGACGGCGGUGUUUGGCACCUCGAUGUCGGCUCAUCACAUCCUGGGGCUGAAGUAGGUCCCAAGGGUACGGCUGUUCGCCGUUUAAAGUGGUACGCGAGCUGGGUUUAGAACGUCGUGAGACAGUUCGGUCCCUAUCUGCCGUGGGCGUUGGAAGAUUGAAAGGGGCUGCUCCUAGUACGAGAGGACCGGAGUGGACGCACCACUGGUGUUCGGGUUGUCAUGCCAAUGGCAUUGCCCGGUAGCUAAGUGCGGAAGAGAUAACCGCUGAAAGCAUCUAAGCGGGAAACUUGCCUUGAGAUGAGUCUUCCCUGACUCUUUAAGGGUCCUAAAGGAACGUUUAAGACUAAGACGUUGAUAGGUUGGGUGUGUAAGCGUAGCGAUACGUUGAGCUAACCAAUACUAAUGAACCGUGAGGCUUAACCUG